GAUGAACGCUAGCGACAGGCUUAACACAUGCAAGUCGCGGGGCAGCAUGGGGGUUGCUUGCAAUCCCCGAUGGCGACCGGCGCACGGGUGAGUAACGCGUAUCCAACCUGCCCUUCACCACGGGAUAACCCGGCGAAAGUCGGACUAAUACCGUAUGUUGUCCAUUGACGGCAUCCGAUUUGGACGAAAGGUUUGGCGGUGAGGGGUGGGGAUGCGUCCGAAUAGCUAGACGGCCGGGUAACGGCCCAACGUGGCUACGAUCGGUCGGGGUUCUGAGAGGAAGGUCCCCCAGACUGGAUCUGCGGCCCGGUCCAGACUGAUACGGGACGCAGCAGUGGGGAAUAUUGGUCAAUGGGCGUAAGCCUGAACCAGCCAAGUAGCGUGCAGGAUGACGGCGCUAUGGGUUGUAAGCUGCUUUUAUGCGGGGAUAAAGUGGCCAACGUGUGAGCUUUUGACGGUACCGAAUGAAUAAGGACCGGCUAAUUCCGUG
rnacentral:rRNA from 1 species